rnacentral:tRNA from 1 species
GUCAGGAUAGCUCAGUUGGUAGAGCAA